rnacentral:rRNA from 1 species
GACGAACGCUGGCGGCGUGCUUAACACAUGCAAGUCGAACGGAAAGGCCCUGCUUUUGUGGGGUGCUCGAGUGGCGAACGGGUGAGUAACACGUGAGUAACCUGCCCUUGACUUUGGGAUAACUUCAGGAAACUGGGGCUAAUACCGGAUAGGAGCUCCUGCUGCAUGGUGGGGGUUGGAAAGUUUCGGCGGUUGGGGAUGGACUCGCGGCUUAUCAGCUUGUUGGUGGGGUAGUGGCUUACCAAGGCUUUGACGGGUAGCCGGCCUGAGAGAGUGACCGGCCACAUUGGGACUGAGAUACGGCCCAGACUCCUACGGGAAGCAGCAGUGGGGAAUAUUGCACAAUGGGCGGAAGCCUGAUGCAGCAACGCCGCGUGCGGGAUGACGGCCUUCGGGUUGUAAACCGCUUUCGCCUGUGACGAAGCGUGAGUGACGGUAAUGGGUAAAGAAGCACCGGCUAACUACGUG